rnacentral:rRNA from 1 species
CCUACGGGGGGCUGCAGUCGAGAAUCUUCGGCAAUGGGCGCAAGCCUGACCGAGCGACGCCGCGUGGAGGACGAAGGCCUUCGGGUUGUAAACUCCUGUCGAGGGGGAGGAAGGCGCAAGCUUGACCGAUCCCUGGAGGAAGCACGGGCUAAGUUCGUGCCAGCAGCCGCGGUAAGACGAACCGUGCGAACGUUAUUCGGAAUCACUGGGCUUAAAGCGCGUGUAGGCGGGUCGCCACGUCGGAUGCUGAAAUCCCACGGCUCAACCGUGGAACGGGCACCGAUACGAGCGACCUGGAGGGAGGUAGGGGGGGCUGGAACUUCCGGUGGAGCGGUGAAAUGCGUUGAGAUCGGAAGGAACGCCCGUGGCGAAAGCGAGCCCCUGGACCUUUUCUGACGCUGAGACGCGAAAGCUAGGGGAGCGAACGGGAUUAGAUACCCCAGUAGUC